GAUCCUGGCUCAGAUUGAACGCUGGCGGCAUGCCUUACACAUGCAAGUCGAACGGCAGCGCGGACUUCGGUCUGGCGGCGAGUGGCGAACGGGUGAGUAAUACAUCGGAACGUACCCUGUUGUGGGGGAUAACUAGUCGAAAGAUUAGCUAAUACCGCAUACGACCUGAGGGUGAAAGUGGGGGACCGCAAGGCCUCACGCAGCAGGAGCGGCCGAUGUCUGAUUAGCUAGUUGGUGGGGUAAA
rnacentral:rRNA from 1 species